GCUCAUUGGGGAUGGUAACUGGGACCCGGUGUCUACUCCUGUCGCCUUCGCCGCCUAACCCUUAGCCACUAUGCAUGAGUGUAUCUCCAUCCACAUUGGCCAGGCUGGUGUCCAGAUUGACAGUGCCUGCAGGGAGCUCUACUGCCUGGAACACGGCACCAGCCCAAUGGCCAGAUGCCAAGUGACAAGACCACUGGGGAAGGAGAUGACUCCUUCAACAUGUCCUUCAGAGAGGUGAGCGCUGCCAAGCAUGUGCCCAGGGCAGUAUUUGUAGACCUGGAACCCACGGUCAUUGAUGAAGUUCACACUGGUACCUACCGCCUGCUCUUCCACACUGAGCAGCUCAUCACAGGCAAGGAGGAUUCUGCCAACAACUAUGUCCGAGGACACUACACCAUUGGCAAGGAGAUCAUUGACCUCAUCUUGGACCGAGUUUGCAAGACAGAUCUUUAGGACUUCUUGGUUUUCUACAGUUUUGGUGGGGGAACCGGGUCUGGGUUCACCUCCUUGCUGAUGGAACAUCUCUCUGUGGAUUAUGGCAAAGAAGUCCAAGAUGGAGUUCUCCAUUUACCCAGCCCCCCAGGUUUCUACAGCUGUAACUGAGGUCUACAACUCCAUCCUUACCACCCACACCAUCCUGGAGCACACCUAUUGUGCCUUCAUUGUAGACAAUGAGGUCAUCUAUGACAUCUGUCAUAGAAACCUUGAUAUUGAGCACCCAACCUACACUAACCUUAACCGUCUUAUUAGCCAGAUUGUGUCCUCUGUUACUGCUUCCCUCAGAUUUGAUGGACCCCAGAAUGUUGACCUGACAGAUUUCCAGACCAACCUGGUGCUCUAUCCCUGCAUCCACUUCCCUCUGGUCACAUAUGCCCCUGUCAUCUCUGCUGAGAAAGCCUAUCACGAACUGCUUUCUGUAACAGAGAUCACCAAUGCUUGCUUUGAACCAGCCAAGACCAGAUGGUGAAAUGUGAACCUCGCUAUGGUAAAUACAUGACUUGCUGCCUGUUGUACUGUGGUGAUGUGGUUCCUAAAGACGUCAAUGCUGCCAUUGCCACCAUCAAGACCAAGUACAGCAUCCAGUUUGUGGAUUGGUGUCCCACUGGCUUCAAGGUUGGUAUUAAUUUCCAGCCUCCCACUGUGGUGCCUGGUGGAGACUUGACCAGGGUACAAAGAACUGUACAUACGGAGCAACGCUACAGCCAUUGAGGAGGCCUGGGCUUCCUGAACCACAAGUUUGACCUGAUGUAUGCCAAGCAUGCCUUUGUUCACUGGUACCUGAGUGGGCGAGGGGAUGGAAGAAGGAGAGUUUUCUGAGGCCUGUGAGGACAUGGCUGGUCUUGAGAAGGAUUAUGAGGAGGUUGGUGUGGAUUCUGUUGAAGGAGAGGGAGAGUAAGAAGGAGAGGAAUACUAAUUGUCUAUUCCUUUCAGCCCUGCAGUAUGUCAUCUCCCAAAAUUUCACUCCAACGUUAGCUGACAGACAUUGAAGCUUUCUGGUUAGAUUGUUCUCUCUCAGUGGUAAUCAUGUCUUUUCUAUGUGUACCUGUAAGAUUUUUCCAUCAUGUCUCAAAGUAAAAGCUUUAAGAUAAAAAAAAAA